rnacentral:rRNA from 1 species
GGAGCUUGCGGCUUAAUUUGACUCAACACGGGAAAACUCACCCGGACCGGACACUAUGAGGAUAGACAGAUUGAUAGCUCUUUCUUGAUUUGGUGAUUAGUGGUGCAUGGCCGUUCUUAGUUCGUGGUAUGAAUUGUCUGGUUAAUUCCGAUAACGAACGAGAUUCUAACCUGCUAAAUAGUCCAUGUGUAAUCCUGUGUAGUUUGGGCGUAUGCUUACCUCGGUUUGUUGCGCACUGCUAUACGAGCAUGUGGUACUUCUUAGAGGGAUUGGUGGAUAUUCAAAGCCACACGAGAGAGAGCAAUAACAGGUCUGUGAUGCCCUUAGAUGUUCGGGGCCGCACGCGUGCUACACUGACAGUGGUAGAGAGUUUGGUAUCCUCAGGCGAAAGUUGGGGGCAAACUUUUCAAUUACUGUCGUGCCUGGGAUCGGGGUUUGUAACUAUCCCCCGUGAACCAGGAAUUCCUAGUAAGCACAAGUCAUCAGCU